ensembl:lncRNA
UGACUUCAUCUGCAUCUCAGGUAUUCCUUCAGUACCUCUAGGGUUCAGUAAUAGGCAUCUAAUUCAGAAUAAACAUCCAUUUGGGAGUAAGAACAAAGAGGAUGAAAAGAUCAGAAAUGGGUAGAAGGAAACUGCCAUUCUGUCUUUGUCUAAAAAAGGGAACUUUAGCUGUGGCAAGCUUCUCAGAAGAAAGCAGUCACUGAAGAACCCACACUGGCUCCUCUGUUUUCCAGGUAAUGGAAACCCUUCCUCAGCAGCCCCAAGGAAAAACCCAAGUCCUGAUCCUUUUCUCUCUUUUGGGCAGUUAUAGGGUUAGUCCUACCCUGCAAGUAUUUCCCUAUUCCUUUACUGGGAAUAUAACCCAUAUGUUUCAUAAUCUUUUGUGAAGUUUCAGAAUACUCAGUGUUCAAUUUGAAACCCAUAUAUUUCAGCAAAUCUCUCCCUCAAAGGGAAAUGGGCAAAUCAAACACAUAGGGUUGCAUAACUCCCGAAUGCCCUUCCUGAUCUCUCCAACUCAAUUGUCUUGCGCUCAUAUCAGGAGCUCAUGCUUAAUGGAGACAUUGUAAUGUUUGAUAUGAGACCUGUACUGGCCAUCCAGAGGGCCAAUCUUUCUUAGCUAUUAUACUUCUAUUGGGCACUGUAUCCAACAGUCCUAGGAUCCUUUUUCCUUCUACCCUUAGCUCCAUUACUGGGCGUUGGUUUAAACCCAAGGCUAGAAAUGUAAGGUCGGAGCUGAAACCAUUCUCUCCUCUCCCUCUAGACUGGGCUGCAAAACUUCCAUGAAGCCUAGGCAAAGUAAUAGUUUGGCUAUUCUGUCCCCAGGGGAAAUGGCAGUAAUCUCUUUCAGUGAUUCUACCAUGUUCUUGACUACCCCAGUAUAAUCUGGGUCAAUAACUCCUGGAUGGACAUGUAGUCCUGUUAAAGCCGUAGAUGAUUUCCCUAUAAGUAACCAUACUGUGCCAAGUUCAAGGGGACGUUUAAAUCAGUUUCUAUCAACUGUACACCCAUCCAAGGAGUUAGUACGAGUCUGGCAGUGGACCAGAUGUCCAGUCCUGCAGAGCCUUUAGUGGCUCUCCUUGGCCCCUCAGAUGGCGAAGGGAUGACCAUCUCUCGUGACUCGGUUCUACAUCCUAAUUCUCGACUGGCACAUAUAUUUGUGGGCCCUAGGGUCGUGGACGUGGCUCUCCAUUUUUUGGACCUGCUCCACCAAAACCCGAGCUAAGAGGCUGCCCAUUGAUGUCUUUUACCGAGUGGCACUCAUGAGUGCAAUGGUUCCCCUUUUUGCACUUGGGGCACGACCCUUUUUGCCUUGGUCGUUGGCCACUUCUUGUACUGAAGAGACUUCUCCUUUCUGGACAUUGCCUUUUGAGGUGCCCCUGUUGAUCACACUUAACACACAUUCCUGAGCGUCCUCCUUUUCUCUGCAUCAUCUGCAUAACAGCAGCUGCAAGUCCAGCAUUAGUCAAAGAUCCCCCUAUAUCUCUACAGACCUUGUUCCAAGCUUCAAGUCCCUUAUUCUUGUAAGGAGUGAUAGUGGCUCGACAUUCCUUUGUGCAAAGCUCAUAGGCCAAUUGUUUAAUUAAGGGCAUAAUCAUAAUGGGGUCGCCAAAGUCUCUACCUGCUGCUACCACUAAUUGGGCUACAAAGUCAGAGAAUGGCUCCAUAGGUCCUUGAAGGAUCUUGAUGAGGUUUCUACUUACUUCUCCCUUACUAGGUAAGGAUUUCAAUGCAUUUGUUGCAACCUCAUUAAUCUGCUGGUAAACCUGUCCUGGAUAACCUGUCUGAGCAUUGGCAGAGUGUCCCUGACCUAGCAGCAUAUCUCUAUCCGAGGCAGCCUCCCCCCCCCCUCGCUACCAAGUUAGCAGCAGCCUGUUCAUUGGCAAACUCAAUAAGAAAAGCUCUCCAGUUCAAAUACUGUCCCAGACUAAGACAGGCCUAAGGAAGUUUACUCCAAUCACUAGGAGUCAUGCAAAAUCUGUAUAAGACCUCAACCUGAGUUAUGGUAAAUGAGGCCAUAAUGCAAUAUGUCCUGACUGAUUUUACAGGGACUUGAUCACCUUAAAGUCUAAAGGCUCAUGAUACCUUUGUUGAUUAUCAUCCACAUAAACAGGAUAGACCAGAUGCAGUUCUGUGUGGAUUGGCUUCCACACUUCUGGGCAGAAUUUACUACCCAUUUGUCACGCGCCCAAUUUCUCACCAGCAAGAACGACGUGU